rnacentral:rRNA from 1 species
AUUGAACGCUGGCGGCAGGCCUAACACAUGCAAGUCGAGCGGCAGCGGGAAAGUAGCUUGCUACUUUUGCCGGCGAGCGGCGGACGGGUGAGUAAUGCCUGGGAAAUUGCCCAGUCGAGGGGGAUAACAGUUGGAAACGACUGCUAAUACCGCAUACGCCCUACGGGGGAAAGCAGGGGACCUUCGGGCCUUGCGCGAUUGGAUAUGCCCAGGUGGGAUUAGCUAGUUGGUGAGGUAAUGGCUCACCAAGGCGACGAUCCCUAGCUGGUCUGAGAGAAUGAUCAGCCACACGGGAACUGAGACACGGUCCAGACUCCUACGGGAGGCAGCAGUGGGGAAUAUUGCACAAUGGGGGGAACCCUGAUGCAGCCAUGCCGCGUGUGUGAAGAAGGCCUUCGGGUUGUAAAGCACUUUCAGCGAGGAGGAAAGGUUGAUGCCUAAUACGUAUCAACUGUGACGUUACUCGCAGAAGAAGCACCGGCUAACUCCGUGCCAGCCGCCGCGGUAAAAC